rnacentral:rRNA from 1 species
GGUAGGACUUAGAUACAGGUGCUGCAUGGCUGUCGUCAGCUCGUGUCGUGAGAUGUUGGGUUAAGUCCCGCAACGAGCGCAACCCUUUUCCUUAUUUGCCAGCGGGUCAUGCCGGGAACUUUAAGGAUACUGCCAGUGACAAACUGGAGGAAGGCGGGGACGACGUCAAGUCAUCAUGGCCCUUACGGCCAGGGCUACACACGUGCUACAAUGGUCGGUACAAAGGGUUGCUACCUCGCGAGAGGAUGCUAAUCUCAAAAAGCCGAUCGUAGUCCGGAUCGCAGUCUGCAACUCGACUGCGUGAAGUCGGAAUCGCUAGUAAUCGCGGAUCAGAAUGCCGCGGUGAAUACGUUCCCGGGCCUUGUACACACCGCCCGUCACACCAUGGGAGUUUGCUGCACCAGAAGUAGGUAGUCUAACCGCAAGGAGGACGCUUACCACGGUGUGGCCGAUGACUGGGGUGAAGUCGUAACAAGGUAAGCGUAGAUGA